UGUUUUCCCUGCCUCCGGUUGCCAGGGAAACAAGCAGAGAGGACCGCAGCCAGGGAGCCGUUAGCUGCCUUUUUAAGGGGCCCUGGACAUAAACAGCGCUUUCCAUAAUGGGAGCUGGGCACAGAGGUUUUAAAAAAAACAAAACAAUGCAGAAGAGGAAGCUCAAGUGGGGAGGGGGUGAGUCAGAGGAAGAGCCCCCCGGCCCCGGCCCCGGCCCAGGGUUAAUGGGAGAGUGAAGGACGCAAGACAGACCUCGGACAGCCUUACGCUCCUCUGGACAAAACCAGCGACCCUUCUGGAAGGUCUGAUCCUCCCCUUGACGUGCAGAGAAGCAGACACCUGGCCCCCAGCCCUGACGGCUUCUCUGAGACUAAGAACAGACUUGGGACUAUGGCUCCAUUGAGCUGCGGGGGGCGGGAGGGGGCUAUUAAGAUCAGAACCCUCGAGGUUGAAAUGAUGCUCUUCCUUAAGUGAUGGGGCUAUGCAGAGCUGUCUUUGGAGAAAGCAGAGGAGAGGGGCAGACAUCCGCCAUCUCCAACCGCCUGUGCCCGUCUCGACCCAGAAGUCUCCAUCUCAGACACGGUCCCAGGAAACCAAGUACUGGUGCGCCCAUAAACCACAUUUCCCACGCGGACGAAUAACUGUGACUAUUUAUUCCGUGCUCGUUGCUACUUGUUUCCAUGGCAUGAAACAGAUGUGUCAUUAAACAUUUUGAUAUCCUA